UCAUAACCUUUUAGUUGGUUGUGGUAACAUUUAAAAAUAAUGUGUAAAACUUUAUAAAUAAUAUUUUUACUACUUGAACUUAUAUUUCAAGGUACUUGUUUGAUAUUUAUGGUGACUUUAGUGACCAUCUUGAUACCGUUUUGAGUUCAGUGACCAACUUGAUACAUUAAGCCCACUUCAGUGACCAACUUGAUAAUUAACCC
rnacentral:lncRNA from 1 species